rnacentral:rRNA from 1 species
UACAGAGGGGGCGAGCGUUGUUCGGAAUUACUGGGCGUAAAGGGCGCGUAGGCGGCCAACUAAGUCAGACGUGAAAUCCCUCGGCUCAACCGGGGAACUGCGUCUGAUACUGGAUGGCUUGAAUUCGGGAGAGGGAUGCGGAAUUCCAGGUGUAGCGGUGAAAUGCGUAGAUAUCUGGAGGAAUACCGGUGGCGAAGGCGGCAUCCUGGACCGGCAUUGACGCUGAGUGAGCGAAAGCUAGGGGAGCAAACGGG